rnacentral:lncRNA from 1 species
AAUGUACAAAAUUAAUAGUCAAACAACAUAACCAACACACAUUGAUCAAUCAUGAAUGGAAUCAACAUCAAUCAAUGGUAAACAGGAGUGAGAUGAAGAUUAGAAGUCAAGAAAUAACAAAAAUAUUUUUGGUAUUUUUUAGAAUUAAAAUAAUACUUGAAAUAAAAUGAACAAAUAAAGGUCCAACUUCAAAUCCAAUUCAAAUCAACUUGGAAAAGUCCAAUUGGAUCAUCAUAAUUCUAACAUGGUCAAACAAGGUUUGAC